UACUACCAAAUCCUCUCCUCUCUUAUUCUGUGACUGUCUUCAACCCUGGCACACACAGUCACACUCGCACACGCGCACACAGACACUCGCACACGCGCACGUAGACAUCAACAAUGAGUGAUAGUGGUAGAGUGAUUGAAUUUGAGAAUAGAUCUAGUGUGGAAAUGGAAAUCAGAAUUUUCACGCCCCCGGACAGACCAGACAGAUAUAAAAAAAUCAUCAGAAUAGAACCAUGUAAAACUCAGAAAGUGUUAUCUCAAUCUUUGUUUCCGGAUCCUAUAAACCAUACAUUUCUACUGUUUUUCACGGAUGGGGUUUACGCUCGACGAUUUGAACUAUCACAAGAUGUGGUGGGUUGUACCAAUAUCACCUGCGAAAUUAAUCACGACGGAGAAUUGAAUAUUCAACGCUUCAAAGACAAAUUGCCAGCUGCCCUUCGCAUACUCAAGGAGAAAUUGCAGUGGGGAAGAAACAAGAUUAAUAAUAACUUACGCAAGUUUUCCACCACCGUGUUUGCAGCAGUUUAAUAAAGAUGGUGGUAGUCCAGAAGUACUCCAGGCUCUCAAUUUGAAGCUCUUAAUAAAUAACUGCUGUGCUGGGGGACAACCAAGAUAGAUGAAUGUACGUGCAAAGACUUCAUCUAAUAAGCUAUUCUAACAAAUUUGACUACGCUUGUUUACACAAUCUCUUCGUCUUCAAGGAGUGAUAUUUCUUUUAAUUUUUUCCAAAAGUAAUACAUUUAUUAUAUUUCUCAAAGAGUUGGGAUCCUCUGCUAUACAACAUUGGUGCCAUACCACUUUAGAUGACCAUGAUCACCUCACACAUGCACUACCAUGUGAAGUGAUGGAGGCCGUCGAAAGGACAUGGCCAGAGGAGGGCCAAGCGGUCGCCCGGAGUUGGUUCAGUUCCAAUAAGACCUGUUGGAGUACCCUUAUUUUCAAUUGUCUUAGGACUGGAGAUUGUAUGGUCCUUGUUAAUUAACAAGAUCACUGCAACGAUUCAGCACUGGACCAGUAAGAAGCUCUGAUUGAUUAAGUCCGUUCUAUGCAGCAUUCAGCAAUGUUACUCGAUCCAGCCACCUACCAAUCAGAAUCAUCAAUGAUGUAAUUCUUUUUAUCAAAUAAUAAUAAUAAUAAUAAAAUGUUAUAAGAUGAUCUU